rnacentral:misc_RNA from 1 species
CUGGAGGAAGCGAGCACUCCCUUCAUAGUCUUCAUAGAGCACUGGCUGUAGCAUCGAUCGGCGUCGGAGGCCGUACCAGCGGAGUUCGCCUGGGUAGACUCUCGCUCAGUUGGCCAACUCCCACUUGGUCGACAGUCCUUGCAGUCACAGGGAUGCUACCACACCGACGGACCAGGGCUUGGAGGUUCUGCCUCCCCCACGUGGCCCCGCUCCUAUUGUGUGUCAACCUGACAAUUGGAAUACUACCUGUGGACGCCAAAAACAUCAUCAAGAUUGGCUACGUUACUGGGUCCGAACCCCCGCAGAAACCGCUAGUACUGUACAAACGACCCGGCCAUUUAAUUUCGGGAGCUUUAACUUAUGCCAUUGAGGAAGUGAACAACGACUCGUCAAUUCUUCCUAACUAUACCCUGGAUUAUGUUAUCGCCGAGACACAUGGAGAGGAACAACAGAGUAUCAAGGAAACUGUGUUAUUACGGGAGAGGAAUAUCUCUGUGUAUCUGGGCCCACAGGAAACAUGUGUCCACGAGGGCAGAAUAGCGGCGGCAUUCAAUUUACCGAUGAUAUCUUACUUCUGUGCCCAGACAGAGGUGAGCAACAAGCAGCUAUACCCGACCUUCGCCAGGACGAAGCCGACAGAUUUCCAGAUCUCCAAGAGUCUGGUGUCCAUCCUGAAGCUGUUCAACUGGAAGAAGGUCACUUUCCUCCACAGUGACAAGACGUCCUAUGUGGACACGGCAGACACUAUAUGCAAGCUGCUGAAGGAGUACGACAUCAACGUUACUUUUCGCCGAGGCUACACCAGCCCCUACUUCCACCAACACACGGAGAACCCAUUCAUCAAGAUCGUUGCGGAGACAAAGACCGACACUAGAAUCUACGUGAUGCUCGGCCACUACUACGAGUUCAUGGGACUCAUGGACCACCUGUAUGAAGCCGGACUCCUCGACAGCGCAGAAUACUUCGUGGUGGGCGUGGAGGUCAACCAGUUCGAUCCCAUGAAGCCCCAGAAGUUCAUGGAAGGUUUGUUCGACACUAACGUGACAAGACGCAGUGCAGCAGCCUUCCGCCACUUCGUCAGCGUGGUCACCUCGCCCCCCAUCAUGCCCGACUUCUCCAACUUCAGCAGUGUCGUCAAUCACUAUCUGGAAGCCCCGCCCUUCAACUACACAAACCCCUACAAGGAACUUGGAGGGAUAAAAGCUAUUCUACCGGAAGCUGCGUAUCUUUACGACGCAGUGUGGUUGUAUGCACGUGCAACGCAAAAGGUGCUCGAAAAGGGGGGUGACAUCAACGAUGGGCGAGCCAUCAUUGAGCAGAUCAUGGGGAUGACCUACAAAAGUGCACUCGGCUACAUAAACCGUAUCAACUCCAUGGGAGAUGCAGAGGGCAACUUUUCCUUAAUUGCAAGGCAACCAAUACCCGACAGGCCCGAUGAGUGGGGCUUGUUGCCCGUUGGUGUGUUCCGUUUGAAUGACAACAUCUCCGAGCUGCCGACGUUUCAUUUCUACGAGGGCGAGAAGAUACACUGGAUCUCCGGAGAACCCCCCAGGGACGAGCCGGAGUGUGGGUACAGGCACGAGAAGUGUAUCCCUCCGAAAAUUGUAAGGGUGAAUGGAAAAGCCUACACGAAGGAGAUUCUGAGCGGCGUGGCCGGGGGCAUCCUGCUGGUGGGUUCCUUGGUCGGCUACCUCAUAUACCGUAACUGGUCCUAUGAACAAGAACUGGCCAGUCUGCUGUGGAAGAUCGACUUCAAGGAUCUACAGUUUGGGGACAACAUGUACCAGCCCCAUGGGGGUCAGCGGAGCAAGUGCAACCCCUUAUGUAAGAGCGGCAGUCAAAUAUCUCUGACGUCGCAGGCCGACUUCGACACUCGGCAGCUAUUUACGCACGUCGGCUCAUAUCGUGGCACCAUCGUCGCCAUUAGGAAGAUCAACAAAAAACACGUGGAGUUAACAAGGAAUAUACGGAAGGAAUUAAAAAUUAUUCGCGAGCUGCGGCACGACAACAUGAACCCCUUCAUCGGGGCCUGCAUUGACUCCCCCAACAUCCUCGUCAUCACGGCGUAUUGCGCCCGGGGGAGUUUACAAGACAUCCUGGAGAAUGACGACAUGCAGCUAGACGCCAUGUUAAUAGCCUCCCUCGCAUUUGAUGUUGUCAGGGGCAUGAUCUACCUGCACGACAGUGAGAUGAAGAGUCACGGCAAGCUCAAAUCGUCCAACUGUGUGGUUGACAGUCGCUGGGUGCUGAAGAUCACAGACUUCGGUCUGCACGAGUUUGUCUCUGGGGCUGAGGACGACAUGGGCGACUACGCCUUCUACAGGAAUCAGCUGUGGCGAGCCCCGGAACUUCUGCGGAACAAGCGCGCCCCCUGUCGGGGUUCGCAAGAAGGGGACGUAUACUCCUUUGCCAUUAUAAUGUUUGAAAUAUUCGGUCGGAAGGGACCCUUCGGGAACAUAGACUUGUCCCCUCAAGAAAUUAUCGAGAGGGUUAAGUUUAGUUACAGUGGUGUCCCCUUCCGGCCCCAUCUAUCCCAGCUGGGCCAGACCCACAAGUUCAUCACAGACCUCAUCAAGGAGUGCUGGGAUGAGGACCCCUUUAAACGCCCGGACUUCAAGGUCAUCAGGUCGAAACUCAAGCCCAUGCAGAAAGGGAUGAAAUCCAAUAUCUUCGACAACAUGCUUGCAAUUAUGGAGAAAUAUGCAGAUAAUUUGGAAGCACUUGUGGAGGAGAGGACUGACCAGCUUAUAGAAGAGAAGAAGAAGACUGAAGAGCUCCUGCACCAGAUGCUGCCCAGAAUUGUAGCCGACCAGCUGAUGAGGGGCAAGCAGGUGGAGGCGGAAGCCUUCGACAACGUCACCAUCUACUUCAGCGACAUCUGCGGCUUUACGCAACUAUCAUCUGAGAGCACACCGUUACAGGUGAUCGACCUCCUCAACGACCUGUACACGUUGUUUGACGCCACCAUCGAGUACUACGACGUUUACAAGGUGGAGACUAUCGGUGACGCUUACAUGGUGGUCAGUGGGCUCCCCAACAGGAACGACAGCCACGCCGGAGAGAUCGCCUCCAUGUCGCUCCAUCUUCUCGAGGCCAUCAAGAAGUUCCGCAUGAAGCACCGGCCAGACACCCUGAAGUUGCGGAUUGGCCUUCACUCCGGUCCCUGCGUGGCUGGGGUGGUGGGCCUGAAGAUGCCCCGCUACUGUCUAUUCGGGGACACUGUCAACACUGCGUCCAGAAUGGAGUCCAACGGGGAACCAUUGAAGAUUCACUGCUCGCGUCAAUGUGCAGAGCUCCUCCACAAAAUAGGUGGCUAUACAAUCGAAGACAGAGGCUUUAUCACACUGAAGGGCAAGGGCGAGAUGAGGACGUUCUGGUUGACGGGGGAGGAUGAGGAGAAGCGCCACCACCGGUUUAAGCAGCUCGCUCCUCUCGACACGACCCCAUUGUCGUCCGCGGGGUCCUACAGACGUCUGGUGGGAGUCCACUACAAGGAGCCAAACAGCCCCUUCCGGGAGCAGGGUUCCCCGGGGGCCCCAGAGAAGGCGACACUGCCCAAUGGCACCACUGUAAAUAAUCAGAUUCCCUCCUUUCUUCACCCACACGGACUUUUCUCGGGCCCCAGCAGUGCGGAGUUGCUGCGCAGGUCCUCGUCCAGGCGGCGGAGGCUCAAGUUUACUGUGGGUUCUGAAGAUGAGGAGAUGAAGGAAAAUCCAGCGGAGUACCAAAAGACGAAUGCAACAGUUGAAACAACACCUCUCAUAUUGAGGAAAACUGACACUGGAGAGGAAAAUAUGCUAUUUUCUAGAUGCACAAGUAGACUGUAGCAGUGGGGUGAUUUAUGGGGGAACUGUGUUGUGUAUUCCCGAAAACUAUAGGUAAAUUCUGUUGGUGUAUUCCUGAAAAAUGUGGGUGAAUUCCUGGAAACUGUGGGUGAACUGUGUUAGUGAAUUGCUGGCAACUAGGUGAACUGUGAUGGUGUAUUCCUGAAAGCUGGUUUAUUUAUUCCUGGGAACUGGUUGAACUGGUUGGUGUAUUCCUGGCAACUGGUUGAACUGGUUGGUAUAUUCCUGGGAACUGGUUGAUGUUUUCCUGGAAAUUGGUUGAACUGGUUGGUAUAUUCCUGGAAACUGGUUGAACUGGUUGGUAUAUUCCUGGAAACUGGGGUGUAUUCCUGGAAACUUUUUGAACUGGUUGGUGUAUUCCUAGAAACUGGUUGGUGUAUUCCUGGGAACUGGCUGAACUGUUUGGUGUAUUCCUGGAAACUGGUUGGUGUAUUCCUGGGAACUGGUUGAACUGGUUGGUGUAUUCCAGGAAACUCGAGGUGUAUUCCUGAAAACUGGUUGAACUGUUUUGUGUUUUUCUUGGAAACUGGUUGAUGUAUUCCUGGGAACUAGCUGAACUGGUAAGGAUGAAGGAAAAUCAAGCGGAGUACCAAGAGACCAAUACAUUAGUUGAAACAACACCUCUUAUACUGAGGAAAACUGACGCUGGAGAGGAAAAUAUGCUAUUUUCUAGAUGCACAAGUAGACUGUAGCAGUGGGGUGAUUUAUGGGGGAACUGUGUUGUGUAUUCCCGGAAACUAUAGGUAAGUUCUGUUGGUGUAUUCCUGAAAAAUGUGGGUGAAUUCCUGGAAACUGUGGGUGAACUGUGUUAGUGAAUUGCUGGCAACUAGGGUAACUGUGAUGGUGUAUUCCUGGAAACUGGGUGGUGUGUUCUUGGGAACUAGUUGAACUGGUUGGUGUAUUCCUGGCAACUGGUUGAACUGGUUGGUAUAUUCCUCGAAACUGGGGGCGUAUUCCUGGAAACUGGUUGAACUGGUUGGUGUAUUCCAGGAAACUCGAGGUGUAUUCCUGGAAACUGGUUGAACUGUUAGGUGUUUUCCUUGAAACUGGUUGGUGUAUUCCUAGGAACUGGUUGAACUGGUUGGUGUAUUCCAGGAAACUCAGGGUGUAUUCUUGGGAACUGGUUGAAUCCGUUGGCAUAUUCCUGGAAACUGGCUGAACUGGUUCGUGUAUUCCUUGAAACUUGGGAUGAACUUUGUUGAUGUAUUCCUGAAAACUUUGGGUUAAUUCUGCCUUAUUUGAAAAGUCAACGCCUUGAUUGAGAAACCUGAGAUCUUGCAAGUGUUCCCCUGUGGUACCUGGUAUUUAUCGAGAUUUAAUUACCCAACGCACAGGAGCCAUUGGGUGUGUGGAUUAAUAUGUACGGCUGACAGAAAUGUGGAGAAAAGUCCUCAGGGAUGAAGUCUGGGUUGAGAACUCAGAGAUACAUUUAUCAUUGAUGAUGGAUACAGUCAUCAGUAAUUCAAUGCUCAAAAGGCGUCCUCGGUUUGGACAACUGUGAGAUAUGUGAAGAGCAUAAGGAGGUUUCACCAGUAGCUCCUCAUUAUAACCACUUUAGGCUUUUUGAGAAGCUGUGUUUGACCGGUGAAGACUUCAACACAGGAUGGUGGAAAUCAGUGUUUGACCUGUGAUAACUUCAAAACCGGAUGGUGGAAAUCAGUGUUUGACCUGUGAUAACUUCAAAACAGGAUGGUGGCAAUCAUUGUUUGACCUGUAAGGACUACAGUACAGGAUGGUAAAAAUCUGUGUUUGAUCUGUCAGGACUACAGUACAGGAUGGUAAAAAUCUGUUUUUUGAUCUGUGAGGACUACAACACAGGAUGGUGGAAAUAUGUGAUUGACCUGUGAAGAAAUGCAACACAAAGUAGUGGAAGUCUGUGGUGCCACAGGGGUUGCCUCACUGGGACUGUGUCAUGGUUGCCAUCACUAGGACUGUGAUAUGGUUCCCAUCAUAAGGGAAAGUAUCAUGGUUGCAAUCACCAGGAAAGUGCCAUGGUUGUUAUAUGGUUGCCGUCACUAGGACAGUGACGGCUGCCAUCAGUACGACUGUCAUGGUUGCCAUCACUAGGACAGAGGUGGUUGCCAUGACUAGGACUGUGUCAUGGUUGCCAUGACUAGGACUGUGUCAUGGUUGCCAUGACUAGGACUGUGUCAUGGAUGCCAUGACUAGGACUGUUUCAUGGUUGCCAUGUCUAGGACUGUGUCAUGGUUGCCAUGACUAGGACUGUGUCCUAGUUGGCAUCACUAGUACUGUGUCGUGGUUCCCAUCACUAGGACUGUGUCAUGGUUGCCAUCACUAGGACUGUGUCAUGGUUGCCAUGACUAGGACUGUGUCGUGGUUGACAUCACUAGGACUGUGUCAUGGUUGUCAUCACGAGGACUGUGCCAUGGUUGCCAUCACUAGGACUGUGUCAUGGUUGCCAUCACUAGGACUGUGUCAUGGUUGCCAUGACUAGGACUGUGUCGUUGCCAUGACUAGGACUGUGUCGUGGUUGACAUCGCUAGGACUGUGUCAUGGUUGCCAUGACUAGGACUGUGUCAUGGUUGUCAUCACGAGGACUGUGUCAUACGGUUGCCAUCACUAGGACGGUGAUACGGUUGCCGUCACUAGGACUGUGUAGAGGUUGCCAUGACUAGGACUGUGUCAUAUGGUUGUCAUCACUGGAACUAUGUCAUACGGUUGCCAUGACUAGGAUUGUUUCAUGGUUGCCGUCACUAGGACUGUCAUGGUUGUCAUCACUGGGACUGUCAUGGUUGCCAUCACUAGGACGGUGAUACGGUUGCCGUCACUAGGGCUGUGUCAUACGGUUGUCACCACUAGGACUGUGUCAUACGGUUGUCAUCACUAGGACUGUUUCAUGGUUGCCGUCACUAAGACUGCCAUGGUUGCCAUCACUAGGAAUGUGAUGCGGAUGCCAUUGGGAUGAAUGCAUGUGGUAACAGUCACUAGUGGUGUGCGUACAUGGAAGGGCGGGAACAAUAUCCGUAUCUUCGAUCUGUACAAAUGGAUAUCGUUGUUGCGAUAUAAUCACAAUUAAUCUGUAUAUACGGAACCAUAUAAGCGCUCUAUUCACCUUUUAAGUGUAUAUAUGAAGCGUACUAGCGCUGUAUUUACAUUAUAUUGUAUAUACCUAUUGACGUAUUUAAGCGAUAUAUUACAACAUUGUGUAUAAAAGCGAGUUUGUGCCAUCUGUGCCGGAUCUCUGCUGGCGCCCAACACACGAAUCUGUGAUUGACAUGUUAAUAUCCUCGUCCUUCAAUUCGUGUAUUUUUAUUUUGAAAUGAAAGAAACCGCCGUCAUAUAGCUGGAAUAUUGCUGAGUGUGGCGUUAAACAACAAACAAACAAAUAAAUGUAAGGACAAGCAGCAAGUAGGGUAGGCUGUUAUGUUUCAGGUUUUCCCAAACUUUAACCGUCGCCUCUGCCUGUGGUUAUUCUAAAGAUUAAUUUUCCGUGGACUUUCCUGUCGUUCCAUUUUCUUCCAAAUGGCGUCAGGCAAUGUCGUUACAAGUUAGUUCAAAGAGCAAUGUCACGAGAUAAAAGAAACACAAUCUUUCUCAAAAUGUAUUAUUGCAUUGGCCAUUAAACCUUUUCUACGUUG